rnacentral:lncRNA from 1 species
AGGUCUGACUUGUGGUUUAGGCCCGAGACCAGCAGGAACCGAAGACUUUAGAGGUCUGACUUGUGGUUUAGGCCUGGGGCCAGCAGGGACUAGCAGGAACUAGUAGGUAAUUCCCUUAUUGGAUUUUGCUACUGAUGUUAGCCUGGUGCUAUCCUCCCUUGGAGAGGUGUUUCCAGCCGGGUGAACCACGGAUCUGGUGAGAAGAAGUUGUUUCUUGCCCCCAGGUGGCUGGGGUUGAGAGAUUUUGCAGGAAUAGAUGUAAUGUCUCUUCCGCCUAUCACAUUAUCACGUAGUAUAUGACUGCCCCUCCUUCUAGCGCCAAACUGUUAGAGUAUUUUUUUUGUACAAGCGAUCCGUGCUC